CNAANUAANCAUANAAACUGGCGNACGGCUCAUUAUAUCAGUUAUAAUCUACUUGAUCGUAUUCUCUUACUUGGAUAACCGUAGUAAUUCUAGAGCUAAUACAUGCAAAAAAUCCCGACUGACGAAGGGAUGUAUUUAUUANGUACAAAAUCAAUGCUCACCUUUGGUUAGAUUAUUGAUGAGUCAUAAAGGCUAAAUUAAGCNCAUGGCCUCCAGUCGGCNCUGAUACAAACCAAUUUCUGCCCUAUCAGCUUUCNAUGGAACUAUAGGGGACUACCAUGGUCGCUGCGGGGGGCGGGNNAUGANAANAUAUUUGUUAUUAUAAACUUCGGAUUUUAAUAGCAAAUAUAAGUCNGACGAUUCAUUCGAAUUUCUGCCCCAUCAACUCUCGAUGGUAGGAUAGAGGCCUACCAUGGUCGCAACGGGUANCGGGGGAAUA
rnacentral:rRNA from 1 species